rnacentral:rRNA from 1 species
UACGUAGGCAGCGAGCGUUGUUCGGAAUUACUGGGCGUAAAGAGUGUGUAGGCGGUGCUCUAAGUUCGGUGUGAAAUCUCCUGCUUAACUGGGAGGGUGCGCCGGAAACUGGAGUGCUUGAGCGUGGGAGAGGAAAGCGGAAUUCCUGGUGUAGCGGUGAAAUGCGUAGAUAUCAGGAGGAACACCUGUGGUGUAGACGGCUUCUGGACCAUAGCUGACGCUGAGACACGAAAGCGUGGGUAGCAAACAGG